rnacentral:lncRNA from 7 species
ACGGAUUUACAAGACAGACUUUCUGAUGCCAUGAAACAACUUCAGCAAGUACAAAGCGAGGAGAAGUUGGUUAACGAGACGUUGGAAGAAGUCUCCAAACAGUAUGAGAAAAUGAGAGAAGAUCUGUUUGCAAGAGAAAAAAUAAUUGAAGUUCUGCGGAUGACAUUAGAAGAACAAGAAGAGACUCAUCUUGAACAAGAUAGAGUGCUUGAAGCUCAACUGGAGGAGAAUGAAAGAUUAGUUUCAGAACUGGAGACAUGGAAACAGAAAUGCAGAGAACUGCAAAACCAGAUCAAUAGUGGCCAGCAGCAAAAGAACACCAACAGUGAAGAGGCAAACAUGAAUGAAAACAGUACAGAAUUAAUAAAGCUGCAAAAAGAGCUGGAGGAAAGUGAGGCAAAGUAUCAAACUGAUAGGAAAAAGUGGCUGGAGGAAAAAGAAGAACUCCUAAAUCAGAUAAAAGAAGCUGAGAACCUUCGCAACAGAGAAAUGGAGAAAUUUGCAGAGGACCGACAACAUCAUGGAAAGCAACAAGCAGAAAUUGAAAGACUUGUUGCGCAGCUGGAGGAGAAGGACCGCAAUCUUCAAAAGUGGCGUGAAGAGAGAGAUCAGUUAGUAGAAGCUUUGGAAGUACAGCUCAAAACUUUGGCUUCUAAUGCCAUACAAAAAGAGAAAGAAAUAGCAGAACUGAAACAAUCUGCCGCAAAGGAUUCAAGCAAGGAUAAUGAAGCUGUGAUAGAAGAGUUAAGAAAAGAACUGGCUGUCAAAGAUGACUUAUAAAGGAAUUAAAACAAUGCAUUAACCGCGGUAGCCCUCAGUCUUUGCCAGAAGUACCUUUACUUGAAGAAAGACAAGCUAGAAUGGAUCGCUCUGUACAUGAGGAGCCUAGGAAAAAACAAAGGAAAAGGGAACGUGGAGAUGAAGAAAGUAUUCCAGUAAGACAUGAAGCUAAAGACAAUUAUUCAUCAUCUGGAUGUUCUAGCAGUGUCACUUCAUUAAAUGAAUCUGGGGAGCAUUCGGAAACUUCUCUGCAACCCGAUAAGAUGGAGAUAAAGCAGCAUGGCAGCAUGUUACCUGCAAGAGUGAAAAUGCCUAAGACAAGAAAGAAGAGAAAAAGUGAUGACAUGGAUGAGGAUUUUGUGAAAAGUGAGAACAUGAAAAAUGCAAAAUCUGUCAUGGCUUUUAAUUCACCCUCUACGAGUGACGAGCAAAUGAAAUCCAGAAGAGAGUACUCCCUAAGAAAGCAAGUACGUACUUCAAGUAAAAGAUUGACUAGCAAGAAGGAUGCUACACUGCAAGAAACUGGAGAUUAUCUUCAAAGCUCUCCUCCUAUUAUUCACUCUAAAGCCAAGAAGCUGAUGGCAGCAGUAAGCUCUCCGAAACCUCUGGAACCAGAAAGUCUCGGAGAAGAGAUCAAGCCAAAACGAUCCAAAAGGAAGCUGUAUUCAACUGACAUUUCUGGCCCUCUAGAUAUAUCUGCUUCUUCGGUUUUAGUGAAACAAAAGAAGAAGAAAAGUGAUCAUCUAAUCAUCAAGCGACGGCUACGAUCAAAAACAGCCAAGUAACCUUGAGGAAGCAUGUUUCUUCCCCUUAGUUCGGACAUACUUCUAUUAUACUGGUAAAACCGGUUGUUAAUACAAGGUAACAGUUGCUUUCUUUUGCUCUUAAUAUUCUAUUACUUCCUUUCUGACAGUUUCAAAUUGACUCCAUUGAAGUUGAAAUAAAUUCAAGUUUUCU